CGCGUAGGCGGUUUGUUAAGUCGGAUGUGAAAGCCCUGGGCUCAACCUGGGAACUGCACCCGAUACUGGCCGACUAGAGUACGAGAGAGGGAGGUAGAAUUCCACGUGUAGCGGUGAAAUGCGUAGAUAUGUGGAGGAAUACCGGUGGCGAAGGCGGCCUCCUGGCUCGAUACUGACGCUGAGGUGCGAAAGCGUGGGGAGCAAACA
rnacentral:rRNA from 1 species